rnacentral:rRNA from 1 species
GACGAACGCUGGCGGCGUGCUUAACACAUGCAAGUCGAACGGUAAGGCCCCAGCUUGCUGGGGUACACGAGUGGCGAACGGGUGAGUAACACGUGGGUGACCUGCCCUGCACUUCGGGAUAAGCCUGGGAAACUGGGUCUAAUACCGGAUAGGCCCAUGGUGUGGAUACUGUGGUGGAAAGUUUUGUCGGUGUGGGAUGGGCCCGCGGCCUAUCAGCUUGUUGGUGGGGUAAUGGCCUACCAAGGCGGCGACGGGUAGCCGGCCUGAGAGGGUGGACGGCCACAUUGGGACUGAGACACGGCCCAGACUCCUACGGGAGGCAGCAGUGGGGAAUAUUGCACAAUGGGCGGAAGCCUGAUGCAGCGACGCCGCGUGGGGGAUGACGGCCUUCGGGUUGUAAACUCCUUUCACCAUCGACGAAGGGUUUCUGACGGUAGAUGGAGAAGAAGCACCGGCUAACUACGUG